rnacentral:lncRNA from 1 species
AGUAACUCUCGACUGGAGCUGCCAUGCACAGGCCAACCGGCCUAUUGCAGACUCCUUAUGUUCUUAGGUGCAGCCCUGGAUGCAGCACAUUCGAGCUGUGGUGGUGACACUGUUACUGUUGGCUGUGAAGAAUGGAGCUGUGGUGGUGACACUGUAUCUGUUGGCUGUGAAGAAUGGAGCUGUGGUGGUGACACUGUAUCUGUUGGCUGUGAAGAAUGGAGCUGUGGUGGUGACACUGUUGGCGCCCUUAGCAUCUUUAGCGCCCUUAGCAUUUGCUAACCUCGCGUAAUGGAAGCGGCGGCCCUGGUUCCUGCCUCACCAGUCAUUGUUCCUGCCGUGUCACAUUCUAAUUGUAUGAUAACCGAUUACCAUUUCAUAAUGACCAAAAUUCAGAUAACCUAUAGUGAAUGAUAUUCUAUUUUAUUGUUAUAUGUGAAUUAUUUGUGUAUGGGAAAUUAUAUUUUGUAUUAAUGAUUUAGUGUGUGCACCAUAUCGUGAAACCAAUAACCGAAAGUAUGUUAUUUAAAGAAUGUGUAACUACUACAGUAUACAUGUUUUCUGAAUGUUACCGCAUAACAUGAAUCUUGGAGAAGGGGUGUCAUGGUCAUAAUGACAUGGCUAGUCUGUCAAAACCUAAUAAUUCAUAUUACUCUCCACACCCACAAAACCUGUAAACCUUUUUGAGUUACCAGUUGAAACAUUCGUCUCUAACCACUUCAGGAGAUAGUCUUCCGUUAUCUAUGUCGCAUUACCAUAGAAACUCAAGUACUGUAUACCAAAAUUCCGCACAGGAUGUUCAUUCAAGAUCCGUUGUGACUGAUGUUGAAAGCUUCAAUUGUAUUUACUGUUAGUGUAAUUGUCAAUAUAAGUCAGGGUAGAGUCGGCAGCGAGAUGGAGGUAUCAUUGACGUCGGCCCUAGAGAUGUUGACCGAGGCUGAAGUCACCCUCUUUUUACAUAUGAAAAUCAGAGAAUCUGAUGUUCAUGGUGUAAUUGUUGUAAGGAUGUUAAUUAUGUAAUUAAUUAACCUGAAGGGAACUGUCAGACCAGGUAUCUUUCAGAAUCUACUGGAUGUAAUCGACAGCUCAGGCAGAGCUGUUGGGUGAGUGGAACUCGAAGCUGAUCGAGGGAGGAGUAGUGCGGGGCACUGACGCUCUCAGGCAUCAGUCCAGCGUCUGAAACUCCUCCACGCACAGGUUCCUCUUGGCCAAGAGCCUUGUAGAUUGGGACGACCUCCACACUAAUUUGGGAGAUGGACGAAGGCCAGUGAACUCGGGUAAAUUCGUGAACACGAGCGUCAGGAACUAACCACCACCUCUGGGAUCCAUUCAACUGGUUAGCCGUUCAAUGUCCAGUUUGUUGAUAUCACAGGCAGAGCAAACACUGCCAGCCCCCUUCAUUGUUAUGGAUGAGUCCACUACUCAGUAGGGGUAUAUGGUGGCUGUGUUAUUCCUCUGAAUACACCUGUAUGUCUGAGUGUUUGUGUGUGGGCAAAGGUACCAUAGUGGUGAAGAGAAGCUACUAAUUCUGGUGAUGUUAAAGUAUUAGUGUUGGUGCUGUAACUGGCAUCAUUGCCACUUGUAAUAGUGCUCAAAGGUGCUAUGUAAGAGUAUUGUGUGUGUUCUUGUACAUGUAAGUGGAAAAUGUACCUAAGUUUAACAGUACCAAAUAAGUAAAGCCAGGGAGUUGACCCCCAUCAUUCUCUCCCAUUGCUUGAUAUCGGAAUUACAGUGUACCCAUGUCAUAACCCCCGAGCCACGAUACCAAAGAUAAGAGGUUAUGGAGUAAUGUUAUGAAAUGAAAUAACUAGACAAAACUAAUGGAGAAAAUAAAUGAAGUAAGAAAUUAAGAGGAAACCAGGUUGAGUUUAAAAGUUAUCUUAUAAAUGGUUUCAGCGAUUCGAUUGUAAUUUAAAAUGGUACCCAGUUGGGAGGAAGGAAUGAGCUAAUGUAGGUGUUUUUAACUGUGAUUUGUAAUAACCAUUUCUCUGUGCUGGUAUCUAAUAAACAUUUAACGGUAACGGAGUAUUUCAGAUUGCUAAUAAUUUUGUUCCAUAUUUUUCCAAGGUACAGUACAUUGUGCAGUAUAUGUAAUUCUGUACUAAUUAAUUAGGGACAUAAUUAUUUCAGUAGGUUAUGUGUGUGUGUUUAUAUGCUGCUUUUAUUGAUAUAUACAUUAUAUAUUCUGUUACUUCUUACCAAAGUUAGAAUGUGUUUAGGCCUGUGUAAUCACGAAUGUGUACAUAACAAUAAACGCCUGGAGUAAGACUUGG